rnacentral:rRNA from 1 species
GGUACGGGGGGGCAAGCGUUGUUCGGAAUUACUGGGCGUAAAGCGCGUGUAGGCGGUCCGGUAAGUCCGCUGUGAAAGUCGAGGGCUCAACCCUCGAAUGCCGGUGGAUACUGUCGGGCUUGAGUACGGCAGAGGAAAGUGGAAUUCCCGGUGUAGUGGUGAUAUGCGUAGAUAUCGGAAGGAACACCGGUGGCGAAAGCGGC